rnacentral:rRNA from 1 species
GACGAACGCUGGCGGCGUGCUUAACACAUGCAAGUCGAACGGAAAGGCCCUGCUUUUGUGGGGUGCUCGAGUGGCGAACGGGUGAGUAACACGUGAGUAACCUGCCCUUGACUUUGGGAUAACUUCAGGGAACUGGGGCUAAUACCGGAUAGGGGCUCCUGCUGCAUGGUGGGGGUUGGAAAGUUUCGGCGGUUGGGGAUGGACUCGCGGCUUAUCAGCUUGUUGGUGGGGUAGUGGCUUACCAAGGCUUUGACGGGUAGCCGGCCUGAGAGGGUGACCGGCCACAUUGGGACUGAGAUACGGCCCAGACUCCUACGGGAGGCAGCAGUGGGGAAUAUUGCACAAUGGGCGGAAGCCUGAUGCAGCAACGCCGCGUGCGGGAUGACGGCCUUCGGGUUGUAAACCGCUUUCGCCUGUGACGAAGCGUGAGUGACGGUAAUGGGUAAAGAAGCACCGGCUAACUACGUG